GGAGCGGCCGUGUUCGCUUUGUAAGCGAAUGGUCCUGGGUUCGAUUCCCAUCUGCUCCC
rnacentral:tRNA from 1 species